AACCGUUAUAACCGGCGAUGUCCGAAUGGGGAAACCCAGUGUGACUCGUCACACUAUCAUUAACUGAAUCCAUAGGUUAAUGAGGCGAACCGGGGGAACUGAAACAUCUAAGUACCCCGAGGAAAAGAAAUCAACCGAGAUUCCCCCAGUAGCGGCGAGCGAACGGGGAGGAGCCCAGAGCCUGAAUCAGCAUGUGUGUUAGUGGAAGCGUCUGGAAAGGCGCGCGAUACAGGGUGAGAGCCCCGUACACAAAAGCGCAUAUGCUGUGAGCUCGAUGAGUAGGGCGGGACACGUGGUAUCCUGUCUGAAUAUGGGGGGACCAUCCUCCAAGGCUAAAUACUCCUGACUGACCGAUAGUGAACCAGUACCGUGAGGGAAAGGCGAAAAGAACCCCGGCGAGGGGAGUGAAACAGAACCUGAAACCGUGUACGUACAAGCAGUGGGAGCCUCUCUUUAUGGGGGGUGACUGCGUACCUUUUGUAUAAUGGGUCAGCGACUUAUAUUCUGUAGCAAGGUUAACCGCAUAGGGGAGCCGAAGGGAAACCGAGUCUUAAUUGGGCGUUAAGUUGCAGGGUAUAGACCCGAAACCCGGUGAUCUAGCCAUGGGCAGGUUGAAGGUUGGGUAACACUAACUGGAGGACCGAACCGACUAAUGUUGAAAAAUUAGCGGAUGACCUGUGGCUGGGGGUGAAAGGCCAAUCAAACCGGGAGAUAGCUGGUUCUCCCCGAAAGCUAUUUAGGUAGCGCCUCGUGAACUCAUCUCCGGGGGUAGAGCACUGUUUCGGCUAGGGGGCCAUCCCGGCUUACCAACCCGAUGCAAACUGCGAAUACCGGAGAAUGUUAUCACGGGAGACACACGGCGGGUGCUAACGUCCGUCGUGAAGAGGGAAACAACCCAGACCGCCAGCUAAGGUCCCAAAGUCAUGGUUAAGUGGGAAACGAUGUGGGAAGGCCCAGACAGCCAGGAUGUUGGCUUAGAAGCAGCCAUCAUUUAAAGAAAGCGUAAUAGCUCACUGGUCGAGUCGGCCUGCGCGGAAGAUGUAACGGGGCUAAACCAU
rnacentral:rRNA from 1 species